UAAACACAGUCUGUAAGUCUCAAGGUCACUAGGACUCUUUCCGACUCAAUCACAAAAUACAGUUGAACCCAAUAGGAAAGGCAGGAAGACCUUUAAGCACUCAGUUAAAUUCAAAAAUUCAGCUAUAUUCAAGCUUCACAUUCAUAUCUGACAACUGUGUUUAAACGCCUAAAUAGAAAACCGUUACAGAUUAAGAUACAAGAACCUAAGAUACAGGAGCAGAAUUAGGCCAUUUCAUCAUGGGUGAUACAAUUUUGCUUUCAGCCCCCAACUCCUGCCUUCUCCCAAUAUCCCUUCAUGCCCUGACCAAUCAAGAAUCUACCAGCCUCUGCCUUAAAUAUAUAUAGACUUGGCCUCCACAGCUGCCUGUGCCAAAGAAUUCCACAGAUCCACCACUCUUUGGCUAAAGGAAUUCGUCCUUAUUUCCAUUUUAAAAGGAUGCCCUUCUAUUCUGAGGCAGUAUCCUCUGGUCUUAAGAUUCUCCCGUCAUAGGACAUAUCCUCUCCACAUCCACUCAAUUGCAUGGUCUGAACAUAGUGCUAAAAUUACAAGGUUUAAAAAAAAAUGCAGGUUUUCUUAAAACAGUGUUAAACUAUUUGCAUACACUUAGUGGCCACUUUAAGUAUACCUGCUCAUAAUUGCAAAUAUCUAAUCAGCACUAGUGGCAGCAACACAAUGCAUAAAAGCAUGCAGACAUGGUCUGGGGGUCUGUUGUUGUUCAGACCAAACACAAGAAUGGGGAAGAAACAUGGAUCUAAGUGACUUUGACCAUGGAGUAAUUGUUGAUGCCAGAUGGGAUCGUUUAAGCAUCUCAGAAACUGAUGAUCUGCUGGGAUUUUCACACAUUGCAGUCUUUAGAGCUUACAGUGAAUAGUAUGGAAAAGAAAAACAUCCAGUGAGCAGCAUUUCUGUGGGUGAAAAUGACUUGUUAAUGAGAGGUCAGAGGAGAACUAGCAGACUGGUUCAAGCUAACAGGAAGGCAACACGUGUUACAACAGUGGUGAAAUGCUUUGAUCUGAAUGCACAACACAUUGAUCCUUGAAGUGGAUAGCAGCAGAAGACCAAGAACUGGAGGUACCUGAAAGUGGCCACUGAGUGCAAAGUCACAGUGUUUGGCAUUCACUGAACACUGCCUGCACCCCAGUUCCACUCAGUUCCCCCAAAAUCACAGCUUGUUCAAAAUUUGUCAUUAUUUGAGUGAUUGAACUGAGGGUGUUCACAUCCAUACUGACAAGAAUGAGCAUUUCAGGCGAUCAUAAUAUGUCUAGAGUCAGCGUCUUAGAGAAGCACAGCACAGAAACAGGCCCUUUGGCACAUCUACACCAUGCCAAAACCAUUUACACCGCCUACUCCCAUCGACCUGAAUCAGGUCUAUAGCCCUCAUAUCCCUACUAUCUAUGUACCUAUCCAAACUUCCCUUAAAAGCUGAAAUCAAGCUCACAUGCAACACUUGUGCUGGAAGCUCAUUCCAUACUCUCAUGACCAUCUGAGUGAAGAAGUUUCCCUUCAUGUUCCCCUUAAAUUUCACCUUUCACUCUUAGCCCACGACCUCUGGUUGUAGUCUCACUCAAUCUCAGUGGAAAAAGCCUGCUUGCAUUUACCCUAUCUAUACCCCUCAUAAUUUUGCACACCUCUGUCAAAUCUCCUCUCAAUCUUUUAUGUUCUAAAGAAUACAGUCCAAACUUAUUCAAUCUUCCCUUAUAACUUAGGUCCUCCAGACCCAGCAACAUACUUGUGUAAUGCCCUGCUAAGAGAUUUACUACUAUGCUGUAGGUAUUUUAUUUUAGCAGUUCUACAAGAGCAGUCUGUUCUGGUUUCCGGUUGUUUGGGUUUGAGCUGAGAUAAGAGGUUUGUUGUUCAACUUAAGAAUGUGGUAUCAGCCAAUCAGGAUGGUAGAAGUGGGAGUAGAUUCUAGAGAAUGCUGGGUGGAGAGAUCUUUGUUGGCAGGAGCUGGGAGAAGACAGGCGGGAAGAUGGUGGAGGACGCCAUCCCUGUUGCACAAGGUGCUUUGUGCAGAUGAAUGACUUUGAGGAGGAAGGACCAAUAACCCUAUGGGAGAGCCCGGUUUACGAUCGAUUUCGAGUGAUCUUUGGAAGGUGGUGUGUGCUUUCACACAGACCGAGGGUCCAGUGCGCGAUUUACAGACAAGGUCAAGAAAUAAAUCUAUCUCCUACUCCAACACGUACAGUGAAUUCGUACCUGUCGGCAACUUAUUCCAGAUGUUCGUGACUUUCAAGGAAAAGAACUGUCAGAACAAUACUGAGACACAAGAGGGAGCAGAUACUCUAACCCGGAGCGAAAAAAAUCGAACUGCUGGAAUAACUCAGCCGGGACCCUCCUUCUGCCUUUACAGAUGCUGCCUGAGUCGCUGAGUUUCUCCGGGGAGGGGUGUUUAAACAACACUAGUAAUCUCAAUUUAAAACGCUGGAUGCUCUGAGCAGGAUCUGUUGAAAUCAGAUGAACAGUCAUCGAAAUAAAACAUUAACUCAAGUGUUGCCAGUUCAGAUGCUGCUUAAA